AGUGAACGCUGGCGGUAGGCCUAACACAUGCAAGUCGAACGGCAGCUCAGUAAGAGCUUGCUCUUACGGGUGGCGAGUGGCGGACGGGUGAGGAAUACAUCGGAAUCUACUUUUUCGUGGGGGAUAACGUAGGGAAACUUACGCUAAUACCGCAUACGACCUACGGGUGAAAGCAGGGGAUCUUCGGACCUUGCGCGAUUGAAUGAGCCGAUGUCGGAUUAGCUAGUUGGCGGGGUAAAGGCCCACCAAGGCGACGAUCCGUAGCUGGUCUGAGAGGAUGAUCAGCCACACUGGAACUGAGACACGGUCCAGACUCCUACGGGAGGCAGCAGUGGGGAAUAUUGGACAAUGGGCGAAAGCCUGAUCCAGCCAUACCGCGUGGGUGAAGAAGGCCUUCGGGUUGUAAAGCCCUUUUGUUGGGAAAGAAAAGCAGCAGGUUAAUACCCCGCUGUUCUGACGGUACCCAAAGAAUAAGCACCGGCUAACUUCGUG
rnacentral:rRNA from 1 species